rnacentral:rRNA from 1 species
AUGUGGGAAUCAUAAUGGCCGAAAAUCUAAGGUUUCUUGGGGAAGGUUCGUCCGCCCAAGGUAAGCCGGGAGCUAAGGCGAGGCCGAGAGGCGUAGUCGAUGCACAUACGGUUGAAAUUCCGUAGCCACCGAAACUUAAGUUAGAGGGACACUUGGAACUAUCUGAUCCCGGGCGUUGGUUGACCCGGGCGAAAGGGACCGAAAUCAAGUAGGGAAGUCAGAGAACGACGAGGCGAGAAAAGCUCUAAUGUAUGCUAAGGUGCCCGUACCGCAAACCGACACAGGUAGAUGAGGAGAGGAUCCUAAGGCCAACGGGAGAAGGGUUGUUAAGGAACUCGGCAAAAUUACCCCGUAACUUCGGGAUAAGGGGAGCUCCCUAAGGGGAGCCGCAGAGAAUAGGCCCAAGCGACUGUUUACCAAAAACACAGGUCUAUGCUAAAUCGAAAGAUGACGUAUAUGGGCUGACGCCUGCCCGGUGCUGGAAGGUUAAGAGGAGAGCUUAGCGCAAGCGAAGGUUUGAAUUGAAGCCCCAGUAAACGGCGGCCGUAACAAUAACGGUCCUAAGGUAGCGAAAUUCCUUGUCAGGUAAGUUCUGACCCGCACGAAUGGCGUAACGAUUUGGGCGCUGUCUCAACAGCCCACCCGGCGAAAUUGUAGUACUGGUGAAGAUGCCAGUUACCCGCAACUAGACGGAAAGACCCCAUGGAGCUUUACUGUAGCUUAAUACUGAGGAUUGGUAAAUCACGUACAGGAUAGGUGGGAGACAUGGAAGUAUUGGCGUCAGCCAGUAUGGAGUCACCCUUGGGAUACCACCCUUGAUUUACUGGUUUUCUAACCUGCGGCCCUGGAUCGGGUCGGGGGACACUGUUAGGUGGGCAGUUUGACUGGGGCGGUCGCCUCCUAAAAGGUAACGGAGGCGCUCAAAGGUUCGUUCAGCACGGACGAAAAAUCGUGCAGUGAGUGUAAACGCAGGAACGAGCCUAACUGCGACACCGACGGGUGGAGCAGUAACGAAAGUUGGAGUUAGUGAUCCGGCGGUAUGCAAGUGGAAGUGCCGUCGCUCAACGGAUAAAAGCUACCCUGGGGAUAACAGGCUGAUCUCCCCCAAGCGUCCACAGCGACGGGGAGGUUUGGCACCUCGAUGUCGGCUCGUCACAUCCUGGGGCUGUAUUCGGUCCCAAGGGUUCGGCUGUUCGCCGAUUAAAGUGGCACGCGAGCUGGGUUCAGAACGUCGUGAGACAGUUCGGUCCCUAUCUGUUGCGGGCGUAAGAGAUUUGAAGGGAGCUGUCCUUAGUACGAGAGGACCGGGAUGGACAGACCUCUGGUGCACCAGUUGUCCUGCCAAGGGCACAGCUGGGUAGCUACGUCUGGACGAGAUAAACGCUGAAAGCAUCUAAGCGUGAAACUCCCCCUAAGAUAAGAUCUCUCAUCCUUUAAGGAGUAAGGCUCGACGUAGACUAUGUCGUUGAUAGGUCGGAGGUGGAAGUGCCGUGAGGCAUGUAGCUGACCGAUACUAAUAAGCGGAGGGCUUGACUAA